rnacentral:tRNA from 1 species
GACACUUUGGCCGAGUGGUUAAGGCGCAAGCCUGCUAUAUGCUAGCUUGUGGGUUCGCCCGCGUGAGUUCGAGUCUCACAGGUGUCG